AAUGAACGCUGGCGGCGGGCCUAAUACAUGCAAGUCGAGCGAACAGACGGUGAGCUCGUGCUCCUGCCGUUAGCGACUGACGGGUGAGUAAGACAUGGAUAACCUACCAAUAUUACUGGGAUAACUUCGGAGAAACACAUCUACUACUAGCGCAUAUAUCCAACGGGUUGAAGCAAGGGAGAUUGGCAGCUUUGCCGUCAGUUUGAGCUGAAUCCGCGUCGGAUUAGCUAGUUGGUAAGGUAACGGCCUACCAAGGCGACGAUGCGUAGCCGACCUGAGAGGGUGAUCAGCCACACUGGAACUGAGACACGGUCCAGACUCCUACGGGAGGCAGCAGUAGGGAAUAUUGCGCAAUGGGCGAAAGCCUGACGGAGCAACGCCGCGUGAGUGAUGAAGGUCUUCGGAUUGUAAAACUCUUUUAUUGGGGAAGAACAGAUGUGUAAGAAUCUAUGCCCGUCUUGACGGUACCUAAUCAGAAAGCCACGGCUAACUACGUG
rnacentral:rRNA from 1 species